rnacentral:rRNA from 1 species
GUGCCAGCAGCCGCGGUAAUACGGGGGGGGCAAGCGUUGUUCGGAAUUACUGGGCGUAAAGGGCGUGUAGGCGGCUUGGUAAGUCAGUUGUGAAAGCCCCAGGCUCAACUUGGGAAUUGCAACUGAAACUGCCUGGCUAGAGUUCAGGAGAGGAGAGCGGAACUCCCAGUGUAGCGGUGAAAUGCGUAGAUAUUGGGAGGAACACCGGUGGCGAAGGCGGCUCUCUGGACUGAAACUGACGCUGAGGCGCGAAAGCUAGGGGAGCAAACGGGAUUAGAUACCCCGGUAGUCCUAGCCGUAAACGAUGGGCACUGGGUGUUGGAGGUAUUGAGUCCUCCAGUGCCGAAGUUAACACAUUAAGUGCCCCGCCUGGGGAGUACGGUCGCAAGACUGAAACUCAAAGGAAUUGACGGGGGCCCGCACAAGCGGUGGAGCAUGUGGUUCAAUUCGACGCAACGCGAAGAACCUUACCGGGGCUCGAACGGCGCAUGAAACUCCUUGAAAGGGGAGCGUGCCUUCGGGUACAUGUGCCGAGGUGCUGCAUGGCUGUCGUCAGCUCGUGUCGUGAGAUGUUGGGUUAAGUCCCGCAACGAGCGCAACCCUUACCCUUAGUUGCCAGCGGAUAAUGCCGGGCACUCUAGGGGAACUGCCGGCGAAAAGCCGGAGGAAGGUGGGGAUGACGUCAAGUCCUCAUGGCCUUUAUGUCCCGGGCUACACACGUGCUACAAUGGAUGGUACAGAGGGUUGCCAAACCGCGAGGUGGAGCUAAUCCCAAAAAGCCGUCCUCAGUUCGGAUUGCAGUCUGCAACUCGACUGCAUGAAGUUGGAAUCGCUAGUAAUCGCGGAUCAGCAUGCCGCGGUGAAUACGUUCCCGGGCCUUGUACACACCGCCCGUCACAUCACGAAAGUGGGUUGUACUAGAAAUCGCCGGGCUAACCCGCAAGGGGGGCAGGCGCUUAAGGUAUGAUUCAUGAUUGGGGUGAAGUCGUAACAAGGUAACC